rnacentral:rRNA from 1 species
GUGAGGAAUUUUCCGCGAUGGGCGAAAGCCUGACGGAGCAAUGCCGCGUGAAGGAUGAAGGCCUAUGGGUUGUAAACUUCUUUUCUCAGAAAAGAAUUAUGACGGUAUCUGAGGAAUAAGCAUCGGCUAACUCUGUGCCAGCAGCCGCGGUAAGACAGAGGAUGCAAGCGUUAUCCGGAAUGAUUGGGCGUAAAGCGUCUGUAGGUUGUUUAAAAAGUAUUCUGUCAAAGAUUAGGGCUUAACCCUAGAUAGGCAGAAUAAACUUUUAAGCUAGAGUUUGGUAGAGGCAGAGGGAAUUCCCGGUGGAGCGGUGAAAUGCGUAGAUAUCGGGAGGAACACCAAAGGCGAAGGCACGCUGCUGGGCCAAUACUAACACUGAGAGACGAAAGCGAGGGGAGCAAAUGGGAUUAGAUACCCGGGUAGUCC